AACGAACGCUGGCGGCAGGCCUAACACAUGCAAGUCGAGCGAGAUCUUCGGGUCUAGCGGCGGACGGGUGAGUAACGCGUGGGAAUAUGCCCUUCUCUGCGGAAUAGCCUCGGGAAACUGAGCGUAAUACCGCAUACGCCCUUUGGGGGAAAGAUUUAUCGGAGAAGGAUUAGCCCGCGUUGGAUUAGGUAGUUGGUGGGGUAACGGCCUACCAAGCCGACGAUCCAUAGCUGGUUUGAGAGGAUGAUCAGCCACACUGGGACUGAGACACGGCCCAGACUCCUACGGGAGGCAGCAGUGGGGAAUUUUAGACAAGGGGGGCAACCCUGAUCUAGCCAUGCCGGGGGAGGGAUGAAGGCCUUAGGGUUGUAAAGCUCUUUCAGCUGGGAAGAUAAUGACGGUACCAGAAGAAGAAGCCCCGGCUAACUCCGU
rnacentral:rRNA from 1 species